AAGAGACAGCAGCAGCCACGGUAAAACGGAGGGUGCAAGCGUUACUCGGAAUCACUGGGCGUAAAGGACGCGUAGGCGGAUUAUCAAGUCUCUUGUGAAAUCUAACGGCUUAACCGUUAAACUGCUUGGGAAACUGAUAAUCUAGAGUAAGGGAGAGGCAGAUGGAAUUCUUGGUGUAGAGGUAAAAUCCGUAGAUAUCAAGAAGAAUACCUAUUGCGAAGGCGAUCUGCUGGAACUUAACUGACGCUAAUGCGUGAAAGCGUGGGGAGCAAACAGGAUUAGAUACCCCCGUAGUCCCUGUCUCUUAUAC
rnacentral:rRNA from 1 species